CCUACGGGAGGCAGCAGUAGGGAAUCUUCCGCAAUGGACGAAAGUCUGACGGAGCAACGCCGCGUGAACGAUGAAGGCCUUCGGGUCGUAAAGUUCUGUUGUUAGGGAAGAACAAGUGCUAGUUAAAUAAGCUGGCACCUUGACGGUACCUAACCAGAAAGCCACGGCUAACUACGUGCCAGCAGCCGCGGUAAUACGUAGGUGGCAAGCGUUGUCCGGAAUUAUUGGGCGUAAAGCGCGCGCAGGCGGUUUCUUAAGUCUGAUGUGAAAGCCCCCGGCUCAACCGGGGAGGGUCAUUGGAAACUGGGAAACUUGAGUGCAGAAGAGGAAAGUGGAAUUCCAAGUGUAGCGGUGAAAUGCGUAGAGAUUUGGAGGAACACCAGUGGCGAAGGCGACUUUCUGGCCUGUAACUGACGCUGAGGCGCGAAAGCGUGGGGAGCAAACAGGAUUAGAUACCCUGGUAGUCCACGCUGUAAACGAUGAGUGCUAAGUGUUAGAGGGUUUCCGCCCUUUAGUGCUGAAGUUAACGCAUUAAGCACUCCGCCUGGGGAGUACGGUCGCAAGACUGAAACUCAAAGGAUUAGACGG
rnacentral:rRNA from 1 species